CCACCCCUGGUGUGUUUAUUGGCGUGAAGCACACCGGGCAACGAACCCGCUGUUGCUGUCCUCGGGCACUGUGUGCCGGCAACUGUUUUGGCGCCCAACGUGGGGCUCGAGGCUGAAAUUUAGCCUUGCCUGGAUCCCUCCUGGCGGCCGACGGAUUACGACGACAACCGACGCCCAGAGCGCUCACCAGUGACUUCAUCGGGGGCCUUGGCGGAGACGUGGUUUGGUUGAUCCCGGAGGGCACAACCGUGCAACGCGCUCGAGUAGUGGAGAAGCAGCUGCGGGCGACGGUGGGGAACCGGUCCCGUGGAUAAGGUAUACCAAAGAUUUGCAGCCUCUCCCGCUGGAUGCCCCGAUCCACUCCUUGCAGCCAGGUGACUCCGUACUCGUUUGGACCUAGAAGGACGAGCCUCUCCAAGAGAAGUGGAAGGGACCCCACACCGUCCUGCUGGUCUCCCACACAGCAGCAAAGGUCGAGGGACACAAGAACUGGAUUCAUCACUCCCGCUGAAGGCAGUGCCCGCUCCUGAACGGUGGACCGUCCAGCCUUCGGAAAAGGACUACCAGCAACGACCUGGGACUUAAACUGUUGUUCAAAAAAACAGUAAGAUCUGCUGGGAAUGCCCUGUGGUCUCUUUGGACAGUUGCAGCGCACUCCCCGUGAAAACUCUAAGCGUUGGUUGUGUUUACUCUCACAGGGCCGGCCUAACCUGGUGGCCUGGUCCUUUUUGUUUUUAAUCUGCCUAUUAUUGGUAAUUGUUAUUUUGUGGGUAUUUGGGGAAUUGUAAUUGUUAGGCUCUAGGGUCACCUGCCCAGCAUGGAAACAGGUCCAGGGUCUGCCACAGUGGUACUCUUUGCUAUAGGACACUCCUCUCAUUACCUCCCGUUUCCCCCCGACCACAUGCGGGAUGGAAAGGGAUCCCUACUAACUUGGAAACAAACACAUAUGAGUCCUUGAAGGUUUGCUUUGCCCAAGAGUUCAACCUCUCUAACUGCUGGGUAUGCUCCCAAGUCCCGCACCACGCAGCAGGGUUACCCUGGAGGGCGGUUCCCCAAAAUUGGUCAGAUAUCUGUUGGAGAUGGUUCAGUAGGGGAAGAAAUACCUCGGAUACCCCCUUGUCGCAAAACUGUACCAUUGAAUCCCAGUAUGCAUUGAGGAACGACCCCUGGGAGCCACGGGCCAACUCAACGCAGAUCCCUUCCCCUAUUAGGCUGCGGUCAGUGGCCCCCGGGUUGGUGUGUUAUCGACAGGUCAAGUCCAGCAAUCACACCUGGUCCGCU